rnacentral:tRNA from 1 species
GGGGAUGUGGCUCAAGCGGUAGCGCGCUCGCCUGGCAUGCGUGCGGCCCGGGUGCGGCCCGGGUUCCAUCCUCA